GACGAACGCUGGCGGCGUGCUUAACACAUGCAAGUCGAACGCUGAAGCUCAGCUUUUGUUGGGUGGAUGAGUGGCGAACGGGUGAGUAACACGUGAGUAACCUGCCUCCUUCUUUGGGAUAACGCCCGGAAACGGGUGCUAAUACUGGAUAUUCACUGGUCUUCGCAUGGGGGUUGGUGGAAAGGGUUUUUCUGGUGGGGGAUGAGCUCGCGGCCUAUCAGCUUGUUGGUGGGGUGAUGGCCUACCAAGGCUUUGACGGGUAGCCGGCCUGAGAGGGUGACCGGUCACAUUGGGACUGAGAUACGGCCCAGACUCCUACGGGAGGCAGCAGUGGGGAAUAUUGCACAAUGGGCGCAAGCCUGAUGCAGCGACGCCGCGUGAGGGAUGGAGGCCUUCGGGUUGUGAACCUCUUUCGCUCAUGGUCAAGCCGCAACAAUGGUUGUGGUGAGGGUAGUGGGUAAAGAAGCGCCGGCUAACUACGU
rnacentral:rRNA from 1 species